UAAGGAAGACUUUCUGGAAGACUCAAGCUUUUAAUAACUGAACCAGCCAAAUUUUGAGCCACUGAGACAAGAGGGGAGCAGGAAUGGCAUGGCGGCAGAGUAAGACAAAAAAGCACCUUGGAGAGUAUUUGAGAGACAGGAGAUAUAUACCAAUUUAAGAAAACUCAAAACAAGAAGCAAGUUUGAAUUUAAAAGAACUAUAUCAGCCUGGGCAACAGAACGAGAUCCUGUCUCUACAAAAAAAGUUUCCAAACUAGCCAGGCC
rnacentral:lncRNA from 10 species